rnacentral:tRNA from 1 species
GUGGAUAUAGUUCAAUCGGUAGAACAACUGUAUGUGGAACAGUAAGUUCGGAUUUUUAUU